UAUCCGUUGGUGAACCAGCGGAGGGAUCAUUACAGGACUCGCAAGACUCCUACAACCCUGUGAACUUAACUAUACGCACGUUGCUUCGGCGGGUGUCUCGGAGGGGGUUCUCCCUCCCCGAGACGCUAAACCCGCCGGCAGCCUACUAUACUCUGUCUCUUUGCGUUGGCAUCUCGAGUACAAUCAAACAAGUUAAAACUUUCAACAACGGAUCUCUUGGUUCUG
rnacentral:misc_RNA from 1 species